rnacentral:rRNA from 1 species
ACAGGNNNNNNNNNCCCUUAGAUGUUCUGGGCCGCACGCGCGCUACACUGACAGAGCCAACGAGUUCUUCACCUUGUUCGAAAGAAUUGGGUAAUCUUGUUAAACUCUGUCGUGCUGGGGAUAAAGCAUUGCAAUUAUUGCUUUUCAACGAGGAAUGCCUAGUAAGCGCGUGUCAUCAGCAUGCGUUGAUUACGUCCCUGACCUUUGUACACACCGCCCGUCGCUACUACCGAUUGAAUGGCUCAGUGAGGCCUUCGGACUGGCUCGGGGAGGUUGGCAACGACCACCCCAAGCCGGAAAGUUCGUCAAACUCGGUCAUUUAGAGGAAGUAAAAGUCGUAACAAGGUCUCCGUAGGUGAACCUGCGGAGGGAUCAUUA